rnacentral:rRNA from 1 species
UUGACCUCAAAUCAGGUAGGACUACCCGCUGAACUUAAGCAUAUCAAUAAGCGGAGGAAAAGAAACUAACAAGGAUUCCCCUAGUAACUGCGAGUGAAGCGGGAAAAGCUCAAAUUUGAAAUCUGGCAGUCUAUUUUUUCUUCUUUGGC